rnacentral:rRNA from 1 species
ACUCCUACGGGAGGCAGCAGUGGGGAAUAUUGCACAAUGGGCGCAAGCCUGAUGCAGCGACGCCGCGUGGGGGAUGACGGCCUUCGGGUUGUAAACUCCUUUCGUCAGGGACGAAGCGUAAGUGACGGUACCUGGAUAAGAAGCACCGGCUAACUACGUGCCAGCAGCCGCGGUAAUACGUAGGGUGCGAGCGUUGUCCGGAAUUACUGGGCGUAAAGAGCUCGUAGGUGGUUUGUCGCGUCGUUUGUGUAAGUCCACGGCUUAACUGUGGGAUGGCAGGCGAUACGGGCAUAACUUGAGUGCUGUAGGGGAGACUGGAAUUCCUGGUGUAGCGGUGAAAUGCGCAGAUAUCAGGAGGAACACCGAUGGCGAAGGCAGGUCUCUGGGCAGUAACUGACGCUGAGGAGCGAAAGCAUGGGUAGCGAACAGGAUUAGAUACCCUGGUAGGCGUAGU